AUUGAACGCUGGCGGCAGGCCUAACACAUGCAAGUCGAGCGAGCGGCGGACGGGUGAUGAAUGUGUGUGGACUGCCCGAUAGAGGGGGAGAACUGCUGGAAGCGGUAGCUAAUCCCGCAUACUGUCGGAUAACCCAUAUGGGAUUAGCUAGUGGGUGGGGUAAUUGCUCACCUAGGCGACGAUCCCUGGCUGGUCUGAGAGGAUGAUCAGCCACACUGGAACUGAGACACGGCCCAGACUCCUACGGAGGCAGCAGUGGGGAAUAUUGCACAAUGGGCGAAAGCCUGAUGCAGCCAUGCCGCGUGUAUGAAGAAGGCCUUCGGGUUGUAAAGUACUUUCAGUCGGGAGGCGUUACCGACAGAAGAAGCACCGGCUAACUCCGUGCCAGCAGCCGCGGUAAUUC
rnacentral:rRNA from 1 species